AAUCAACGCUGACGGCGUGCCUAACACAUGCAAGUCGAACGCGGUUGCCCCGCAAGGGGUAACUGAGUGGCGAACGGGUGAGUAUCACGUGGGUGACCUGCCUUCGAGUGGGGGAUAACAUCCCGAAAGGGGUGCUAAUACCGCAUGACAUCCUGCCUUUGAAGAGGCGGUGAUUAAAGCUGGGGAUCGCAAGACCUGGC
rnacentral:rRNA from 1 species